UGACAGACUACGCUAUAAAACUCAACUUCCGGUAUAUUCUGAAAAAUAUGUUACAUCGACAGAACACCGUCUCUCGUGCACACGCACGCAGCAGCAAUCAGAGCCGUACGAAAGACUACUUUGUAUUGUUCUUUGAUUGUUGCUGGGUCUGACUCCGAGUCCGCAAGUAGCCUAUCCCAGAAAGCCUCAGUGACGUCUACUUCCUCCGGGCACCGCAGCGAAUGACAGCGACGGGGGAAGCCACUGGCAGCACGUUCAAAAUGUUCUUUAUUGUCAUUGUUAUAAGUAACAACGAGAUCACAUCAGACCAUCACGUGCCAUCUCUGAGCCAUACUCUAUUCUCCCUGAUUGUGUUUUAGUAUUCUAGCGGAAUAUAUUGUUUAAAUUAAACUUUUAUGAACUAAUUUGCAAA